UUGACUUGGGUGAUGGGGAGGUGCAAGUCAUUCACUCUGGAAAUGGGAUUCCCUAACUAGAUGAUUAUUAACUAAUUUGUCUCAACAUGUCCACAGAAUGUCCUAAGCUUUGUAUUCACAGCUGUUCUCAUGCAUUCAUUCCAUGCCGGCCUUAGAGGACUCGGUCAAGACAACGGUGCCCUCAGGAAGGUUACGAGAGAGCAAGCUGUGCUGCUUUGCCCAUCUUGGGAUGAGCGUCACCCAGAGAGAGGGACCAGAAUCCCUGAGGCCAUCUUGGUUCAUCUGCACCGUCUCUCCUACACCUCUUCACCCCUCCCCUCUCCACUUCACUCCAGGCUGCGUUGGGGCGGGGAGGUGAUCAUCCAAGGCCCUGGCUCUCCAUCGAGACCCCAGCCAGGUAGUGCCCCUAUUGCCUGAGCAAGCUUGCGCAGGAUGGGGCUGGAGCUGCACUAUUUGGAUCUUCUUGGAGUAGAAAAUUCACAAAUUCCAACCUCUGCUCCCAAAGCAAACCUCCCCAGCCCAGGUGGCUGCAUCCUUCUCCUCCCCUCCACCCAGUUCCCUGGGUCGCCAAGCCGGAGGCUUUGAAAACCAGCUUGUGUUUGGUUUGUGAAAGCACCAAUGUUUGCAAUGUUUGCCCAGCAGAGAAGGAGCAUAUUUUCUCCCUUCCAAAUGCAAACUCAAAAGAUGCUCCACAAGUUUUUCUUCAGACUUUCCACAGGAAACAUAAAUAAGAAAGAAAAAUGACUUUAGGUGCUGAGACCUGAAAUGGAAUUUCAACCCUGAAUGAACUGCCUGUAACAAGCACUCUCUGUCCUUCAGUGAAGGCUUCGAGAGCCUAGGUGCAUGUUUCUUUCCUCUGAGCAGCCUUCACAGAUGAGGCAAGGGGAGGAGCUGAACCAGUUCUUAGACCUGACUCCCAGCUAGGUCUUCAGCCCCACACAAUGAAUGGCCAGUGACUGGCACAGCAGCUGAGAUUCCCUGGCUACAGUGUUCUUUUUUAUCUUUCUUGAUUGUGUUAGGGUAGAACAAAUGAGGGUGCUGCAACCCGAGAGGCCCAGCCACACUGCAAGCCAGCACAAUCAGAGUGUGAAGUGUGGACACGCCCCCCUGGAACACAAGGCCACAGUUUGCCACCUGCUCUGCCCUUGUCUCCGUCUCGGAAGAAGGACAUCCCUGAUCUGUGGCCUCUGUCCUCACGGAUCUUAUAAUUAUCAGACAAACACAACCACAGAGAGGCUGGAAGGCAGUGCUUCAGCAUCACACAUAUGCAUCGGUGACCAGAGUUCUGAUUAAUCUUAAUGCACAGAUAAUUGGAGCAUUUCUUGCUCACAGCUUAUAGCCACCAAAUGACUGCUUCCAGGUUAGGAGUUUGCAGAAUAUGUACACACACGGAGCCCUACAAAAGGCUCCAGACCCAAGAAAUACAGGGUUGAAGUCAGUGUGGACAGUUCUAAUGCAGCUAAUACAUUCUAACUGAUUUGUUGUGAGCUAAGGGUUGAGUGUUUACAGUUCAAGGUCACUGUUUCUGUCUCCUGACAUCUGAGAACCUUUCUUCUUCUUCUUUUUUUUUGAGACAGAGUCUUGCCGUGUCAUCCAGGCUGGAGUGCAGUGGCAUGAUCUCGGCUCACUGUAACCUCUGCUUCCCAGGUUCAAGCGAUUCUCUUGCCUCAGCCUCCUGAGUAGCUGGGAUUAUAGGCACCCCCCGCCAGACCUGGCAAAUUUUGUAUUUUUAGUUUCGCCGUGUUGGCCAGGCUGGUCUCGAACUCCUGGUCUCAAGUGAUCCACCCACCUUAGCCUCCCAAAGUGCUGGGAUUACAGGCGUGAGCCACCGCGCCUCACCCAAGAACUUUUCUUCUUAAAGUGUUUUCCUUUCCCAUUGCAUUCUAUCUUUGGAUAGGCCCAACGAGGCCAUUGAGCAUCUACCCUUUUUACAAAACAUAUUAUCAAUCUUAUAGCCCAUAUGUUUAGUGAUAAGUCAACUAAACAAAGCAAGGGACCCCACUGGAAGGUGCUUGUGGGAAGUGUACCCUUCCAUCUAGGACUUCACUUUGAUGUACCAAAUUCUGAGAAAGACCCCAGAAGCCAUUUCCUUCUUGCUGAGGUUUAUUUAUCUUGUUUAUCUGAAGCCAGGGCCAAUAACCCAAAUGGCUUUCAAAUGGCUACAAAAGUUUCUCAGCAUUCGAUUAAUCAGUCCCAUCACAGACAAGUCAACUAACCUGCAGACCCACGUGCUGUACUCAUAGGCGGUGCUGGUUCUGGCAGGGGUGAUCUGGGAGGAGGUAUUUCCCGGAGGUGUUUCCGAAGGGAGAGGCACUAGCUGAAGUUGGCUCUGAGAUUCGAAGCGGAGGAGGAAAGGGAAGGUGGAGUGCUGAUGCUGACAAGGUGAGGAAGAGGAGGAGUAGAGAUUACCAGCGCUCAGAGCAUGGGUUUUGGAGGCACACAGAUCUGUGCCCAAAGGGCUAUCAAUGCUCUUCCACUUCAUUGCUGAGCAACCUGAUGUGUUCAUACGUUCCCUGAUAUGUAAAAGUGGCACAAUACUUGCGUCUACCUUAUAAAGUGCCUGCAAGCACUAAGACAAAAUGUAGACAGAGCUUAAUGCAGUGCCGGACUCAGUCAACAAAUAGCAAAUGGAAGUCGUUCUCAUUAAACAGCAAAAAGGAAGACAGAAGAAGACAAAGGGGAGAUGGGGAGGGGAUGCCGUGGGAGGCUGUGGGUGGGGUGCAGAGGCUGACACUACAGACAGCAGCCCCUCACCCAGCUCCAUCUCUGGGCGCCUGGGACAACACAGCUCUCGGUCCAGACAGGCUGCUCAGAUGUUUAUUAAGAAACCAC
rnacentral:lncRNA from 1 species